ensembl:snRNA LOC120102554 U4 spliceosomal RNA
AGCUUUGUGCAGUGGCAGUAUCGUAGCCAAUGAGGUUUAUCUAAGGCACGAUUCUUGCUAAUUGACAAGGAAGGCACAACAUCCCCUAACUUAUGGGACACAAUGAAAGCAGUACUAAGAGGAAACUCAUAGCUCUGAGUGCCUACAAAAAGAAACUG